rnacentral:rRNA from 1 species
UACAGAGGGGGCGAGCGUUGUUCGGAAUUACUGGGCGUAAAGGGCGCGUAGGCGGCCAACUAAGAUCAGACGGUGAAAACUCCCCUCGGCUCAACCGGGGGAACUGCGUCUGAUACUGGAUGGCUUGAAUUCGGGAGAGGGAUGCGGAAUUCCAGGUGUAGCGGUGAAAUGCGUAGAUAUCUGGAGGAACACCGGGUGGCGAAGGCGGCAUCCUGGACCGAGAUUGACGCUGAUGCGCGAAAGCCAGGGGGAGCAAACGGG